AGAGUUUGAUCAUGGCUCAGGAUGAACGCUAGCGGCAGGCUUAACACAUGCAAGUCGAGGGGCAGCGGGGAGUAGCAAUACUCCGCCGGCGACCGGCGCACGGGUGCGGUAACGCGUAUGCAACCUACCUUUAACAGGGGCAUAACACUGAGAAAUUGGGUACUAAUUCCCCAUAACAUUCGAGAAGGCAUCUUCUUGGGUUAAAAACUCCGGUGGUUAAAGAUGGGCAUGCGUUGUAUUAGCUAGUUGGUGAGGUAACGGCUCACCAAGGCAACGAUACAUAGGGGGACUGAGAGGUUAACCCCCACAUUGGUACUGAGACACGGACCAAACUCCUACGGGAGGCAGCA
rnacentral:rRNA from 1 species